AUUAGGGGAUACCCUUCUUUGAAUUUUUUUUGGUAGAACCCCAUACUUGUGGCAAAUCUAGAAACAAUACAUGUUUUACAGGCCCGACAUUUCGGGAGGGCUGCAUUUAUUUGACUUAAACCAAUACCCUUCGGGGUUGUUUUGGUGAUUCAGAAUAACUAAGCGAAUCGCAGUGGCUUCGGUCGGCGAUGAAUCAUUCAAGUUUCUGCCCCAUCAGUUGUCGAUGGUNGGUUUUUGGCCUACCAUGACUGUCACGGGUGACGGAGAAUUAGGGUUCGAUUCCGGAGAGGGAGCCUGAGAGACGGCUACCACAUCCAAGGAAGGCAGC
rnacentral:rRNA from 1 species